rnacentral:rRNA from 1 species
UACGUAGGGUGCGAGCGUUAAUCGGAAUUACUGGGCGUAAAGCGUGCGCAGGCGGCUUCGCAAGUCAGACGUGAAAUCCCCGGGCUUAACCUGGGAAUGGCGUUUGAAACUACGGAGCUGGAGUAUGGCAGAGGGGGGUGGAAUUCCACGUGUAGCGGUGAAAUGCGUAGAUAUGUGGAGGAACACCGAUGGCGAAGGCAGCCCUCUGGGCCAAUACUGACGCCCAUGCACGAAAGCGUGGGGAGCAAACAGG